GCCCUUGGGUCCGGCAUAACCCCGGGAAACUGGGGAUAAUUCCGGAUAACGCACAUAUGCUGGAAUGCUUUAUGCGUAAAAUGGAUUCGUCUGCCCAAGGAUGGGUCUGCGGCCUAUCAGGUAGUAGUGGGUGUAAUGUACCUACUAGCCAACAACGGGUACGGGUUGUGAGAGCAAGAGCCCGGAGAUGGAUUCUGAGACAUGAAUCCAGGCCCUACGGGGCGCAGCAGGCGCGAAAACUUUACAAUGCGGGAAACCGUGAUAAGGGGACACCGAGUGCCAGCAUCAUAUGCUGGCUGUCCAGGUGUGUAAAAUACACCUGUCAGCAAGGGCCGGGCAAGACCGGUGCCAGCCGCCGCGGUAACACCGGCGGCCCGAGUGGUGAUCGUGAUUAUUGGGUCUAAAGGGUCCGUAGCCGGUUUGGUCAGUCCUCCGGGAAAUCUGACGGCUCAACCGUUAGGCUUUCGGGGGAUACUGCCAGGCUUGGAACCGGGAGAGGUAAGAGGUACUACAGGGGUAGGAGUGAAAUCUUGUAAUCCCUGUGAGACCACCUGUGGCGAAGGCGUCUUACCAGAACGGGUUCGACGGUGAGGGACGAAAGCUGGGGGCACGAACCGGAUUAGAUACCCGGGUAGUCCCAGCCGUAAACGAUGCUCGCUAGGUGUCAGGCAUGGCGCGACCGUGUCUGGUGCCGCAGGGAAGCCGUGAAGCGAGCCACCUGGGAAGUACGGCCGCAAGGCUGAAACU
rnacentral:rRNA from 1 species